rnacentral:rRNA from 1 species
AUUAACUGAAUCCAUAGGUUAAUGAGGCGAACCGGGGGAACUGAAACAUCUAAGUACCCCGAGGAAAAGAAAUCAACCGAGAUUCCCCCAGUAGCGGCGAGCGAACGGGGAGGAGCCCAGAGCCUGAAUCAGCAUGUGUGUUAGUGGAAGCGUCUGGAAAGGCGCGCGAUACAGGGUGACAGCCCCGUACACAAAAGCGCAUGUGCUGUGAGCUCGAUGAGUAGGGCGGGACACGUGGUAUCCUGUCUGAAUAUGGGGGGACCAUCCUCCAAGGCUAAAUACUCCUGACUGACCGAUAGUGAACCAGUACCGUGAGGGAAAGGCGAAAAGAACCCCGGCGAGGGGAGUGAAAAAGAACCUGAAACCGUGUACGUACAAGCAGUGGGAGCACCCUUUGGGUGUGACUGCGUACCUUUUGUAUAAUGGGUCAGCGACUUAUAUUCUGUAGCAAGGUUAACCGAAUAGGGGAGCCGGAGGGAAACCGAGUCUUAACCGGGCGUUAAGUUGCAGGGUAUAGACCCGAAACCCGGUGAUCUAGCCAUGGGCAGGUUGAAGGUUGGGUAACACUAACUGGAGGACCGAACCGACUAAUGUUGAAAAAUUAGCGGAUGACCUGUGGCUGGGGGUGAAAGGCCAAUCAAACCGGGAGAUAGCUGGUUCUCCCCGAAAGCUAUUUAGGUAGCGCCUCGUGAAUUCAUCUCCGGGGGUAGAGCACUGUUUCGGCUAGGGGGCCAUCCCGGCUUACCAACCCGAUGCAAACUGCGAAUACCGGAGAAUGUUAUCACGGGAGACACACGGCGGGUGCUAACGUCCGUCGUGAAGAGGGAAACAACCCAGACCGCCAGCUAAGGUCCCAAAGUCAUGGUUAAGUGGGAAACGAUGUGGGAAGGCCCAGACAGCCAGGAUGUUGGCUUAGAAGCAGCCAUCAUUUAAAGAAAGCGUAAUAGCUCACUGGUCGAGUCGGCCUGCGCGGAAGAUGUAACGGGGCUAAACCAUGCACCGAAGCUGCGGCAGCGACACUGUGUGUUGUUGGGUAGGGGAGCGUUCUGUAAGCCUGUGAAGGUGUGUCGUGAGGCAUGCUGGAGGUAUCAGAAGUGCGAAUGCUGACAUAAGUAACGAUAAAGCGGGUGAAAAGCCCGCUCGCCGGAAGACCAAGGGUUCCUGUCCAACGUUAAUCGGGGCAGGGUGAGUCGACCCCUAAGGCGAGGCCGAAAGGCGUAGUCGAUGGGAAACGGGUUAAUAUUCCCGUACUUGGUGUUACUGCGAAGGGGGGACGGAGAAGGCUAUGUUGGCCGGGCGACGGUUGUCCCGGUUUAAGCGUGUAGGUGUGUGUUCCAGGUAAAUCCGGUUCACUUUAACACUGAGGCGUGACGACGAGGCACUACGGUGCUGAAGCAACAAAUGCCCUGCUUCCAGGAAAAGCCUCUAAGCAUCAGGUAACAUCAAAUCGUACCCCAAACCGACACAGGUGGUCAGGUAGAGAAUACCAAGGCGCUUGAGAGAACUCGGGUGAAGGAACUAGGCAAAAUGGUGCCGUAACUUCGGGAGAAGGCACGCUGACACGUAGGUGAAGUGAUUUACUCAUGGAGCUGAA